CCUACGGGAGGCUGCAGUGAGGAAUAUUGGUCAAUGGCCGGAAGGCUGAACCAGCCAAGCCGCGUGAAGGACGAAGGUGCCAAGCAUUGUAAACUUCUUUUGUCAAGGGACAAAAUCAGGCUCGAGAGCCUGACCGAGGGUACUUGAAGAAAAAGCAUCGGCUAACUCCGUGCCAGCAGCCGCGGUAAUACGGAGGAUCCGGGCGUUAUCCGGAUUUAUUGGGUUUAAAGGGAGCGUAGGUGGGUUGUUAAGUCAGUUGUGAAAGUUUGCGGCUCAACCGUAAAAUUGCAGUUGAAACUGGCAGUCUUGAGUAGAGGAGAGGUGUGCGGAAUGCGUGGUGGAGCGGUGAAAUGCAUAGAUAUCACGAAGAAAUCCGAGUGAGAAGGCAGCUCACUGGAGUGCAACUGACACUGAUGCACGAAAGUGUGGGUAUCAAACAGGAUUAGAUACCCGGGUAGUC
rnacentral:rRNA from 1 species